UGUGUGUGUGUGUGUGUGUGUGUGUGUGUGUGUGUGUGUGUGUGUGUGUGUGUGUGUGUGUGUGUGUGUGUGUGUGUGUGUGUGUGUGUGUGUGUGGCUGUGUGGCUGUGUGUGUGUGUGUGCGUGUGCAUGUGUGUGUGUGUCUGUGUGUGUGUACAUGUGCGUGUGUACAUGUGCGUGUGUGUGUGUCUGUGUGUGUGUGUGUGUGCAUGUUUGUGCGUGUGUGCGUGUGUGCGUGUGUAGUUAAUUGCGGAUAGAUGGUGGAAUGUAGUAGUCUAUUAUAGUAAUGAGGUUGGAUGUAGUAAUCAAAGUAAUUAGGUUGGAUGUGGGAGACUAUCAAAGUAAUGAGGAUGGAGGUUGGAUGUAGGAGUCUAUCAUAGUAAUGAGGUUGGAUGUAGUUGUCAAUUGAAGUAAUGAGGAUGGAGGUUGGAUGUAAUAGUCUAUCAUAGUAAUGAGGUUGGAGGUAGUAGUCUAUCAAAGUAAUGAGGUUGGAUGUAGUAGUCUAUCAAAGUAAUGAGGUUGGAGGUAGUAGUCUAUCAAAUUAAUGAGGAUGGAUGUAGUAGUCUAUCAAAGUAAUGAUGUUGGAGGUAGUAGUCUAUCAAAUUAAUGAGGAUGGAUGUAGUAGUCUAUCAAAGUAAUGAGGUUGGAGGUAGUAGUCUAUCAAAUUAAUGAGGAAUUAUGUAGUAGUCUAUCAAAGUAAUGAGGUUGGAUGUGGUAGACUUUCAAAGUAAUGAGGUUGGAAGUAUUAGUCUAUCAAAGUAAUGAGGUUGGAUUUAGUAGUCUAUCAAAGUAAUGAGGUUGGAUGUGGUAGACUAUCAAAGUAAUUAGGUUGGAUGUAUUGGUCUAUCAAAGAGUUGAGGUUGGAUGUAGUUGUCAAUCGAAGUAAUGAGGAUGGAGGUUGGAUAUAGUAGUCUAUCAUAGUAAUGAGGUUGGAUGUAGUUGUCAAUUGAAGUAAUGAGGUUAGAUGUGGUAGACUAUCAAAGGAAUGAGCUUGGAUGUAGUAGUCUAUCAACGUAAUGAGGUUGGAUGUAGUAGUCUAUCAAAUUAAUGAGGUUGGAUGUAGUAGUCUAUCAAAGUAAUGAGGUUGGAGGUAGUAGUCUAUCAAAGUAAUGAGGUUGGAUGUAGUAGUAUAUCAAAGUAAUGAGGUUGGAGGUAGUAGUCUAUCAAAUUAAUGAGGUUGGAGGUAGUAGUCUAUCAAAUUAAUGAGGAUGGAUGUAGUAUUCUAUCAAAGUAAUGAGGUUGGAGGUAGUAGUCUAUCAAAUUAAUGAGGAAUGAUGUAGUAGUCUAUCAAAGUAAUGAGGUUGGAUGUGGUAGUCUAUCAAAUUAAUGAGGAUGGAUGUAGAUGUCUAUCAAAGUAAUGAGGUUGGAGGUAGUAGUCUAUCAAAUUAAUGAGGAAUGAUGUAGUAGUCUAUCAAAGUAAUGAGGUUGGAUGUGGUAGACUUUCAAAGUAAUGAGGUUGGAAGUAUAAGUCUAUCAAAGUAAUGAGGUUGGAUGUAGUAGUCUAUCAAAGUAAUGAGGUUGGAUGUAGUAGUCUAUCAAAUUAAUGAGGAUGGAUGUAGUAGUCUAUCAAAGUAAUGAGGUUGGAGGUAGUUGUCUAUCAAAGUAAUGAGGUUAGAUUUGGUAGACUAUCAAAGUAAUGAGGUUGGAUGUAUUAGUCUAUCAAAGUGUUGAGGUUGGAUGUAGUUGUCAUUCGAAGUAAUGAGGAGGGAGGUUGGAUGUAGUAGUCUAUCAUAGUAAUGAGGUUGGAUGUAGUUGUCAAUUGAAGUAAUGAGGAUGGAGGUUGGAUGUAAUAGUCUAUCAAAGUAAUGAGGUUGGAAGUAGUAGUCUAUCAUAGUAAUGAUGUUGGAUGUAGUAGUCUAACAAAGUAAUGAGGUUGGAUGUAGUAGUCUAUCAUAGUAAUGAGGUUGGAUGUAGUUGUCAAUUGAAGUAAUGAGGAUGGAUGUAGUAAUCAAUCAAAGUAAUUAGGUUGGAAAUGGUAGACUAUCAAAGGAAUGAGCUUGGAUGUAGUAGUCUAUCAACGUAAUGAGGUUGGAUGUAGUAGUCUAUCAAAUUAAUGAGGUUGGAUGUAGUAGUCUAUCAAAUUAAUGAGGUUGGAGGUAGUAGUCUAUCAAAUUAAUGAGGAAUGAUGUAGUAGUCUAUCAAAGUAAUGAGGUUGGAUGUGGUAGUCUAUCAAAUUAAUGAGGAUGGAUGUAGAUGUCUAUCAAAGUAAUGAGGUUGGAGGUAGUAGUCUAUCAACGUAAUGAGGUUGGAUGUAGUAGUCUAUCAAAUUAAUGAGGUUGGAUGUAGUAGUCUAUCAAAGUAAUGAGGUUGGAGGUAGUAGUCUAUCAAAGUAAUGAGGUUGGAUGUAGUAGUAUAUCAAAGUAAUGAGGUUGGAGGUAGUCGUCUAUCAAAUUAAUGAGGAUGGAUGUAGUAGUCUAUCAAAUGUUUAUUUAACUUUUGUUUAACUUUUACUAACAAUAGUUUUGAAAAUACUUUUAAACAGCUGAAUUCAUACAUUUUGUCUUCCUGGCAA